UACGAACUGUGCAAACGUUAUUCGGAUUCACUGGGCUUAAAGGGUGCGUAGGCGGCUUGCCAAGUAGGGUGUGAAAGCCCCCGGCUUAACCGGGGAAUUGCGCCCUAAACUGGCGAGCUGGAGUGAGAUAGGGGUGUGUGGAACUUCCGGUGGAGCGGUAAAAUGUGUUGAUAUCGGAAGGAACGCCGGUGGCGAAAGCGACACACUGGGUCUCAACUGACGCUGAGGCACGAAAGCCAGGGGAGCGAAC
rnacentral:rRNA from 1 species